rnacentral:rRNA from 1 species
GACGAACUGUGCGAACGUUAUUCGGAAUCACUGGGCUUAAAGCGCGUGUAGGCGGCCCGGCACGUCCGUCGCUGAAAUCCCCCGGCUCAACCGGGGAAGUGGCGUGGAUACGACCGGGCUGGAGGGGGGUAGGGGGAGCCGGAACUUCCGGUGGAGCGGUGAAAUGCGUAGAGAUCGGGAGGAACAUCAGUGGCGAAGGCGGCCAUCUGGGACAACACUGACGCUGAAGCACGAAAGCGUGGGGAGCAAACAGG